AAAUUGAAGAGUUUGAUCAUGGCUCAGAUUGAACGCUGGCGGCAGGCCUAACACAUGCAAGUCGAACGGUAACAGGAAGCAGCUUGCUGCUUCGCUGACGAGUGGCGGACGGGUGAGUAAUGUCUGGGAAACUGCCUGAUGGAGGGGGAUAACUACUGGAAACGGUGGCUAAUACCGCAUAACGUCGCAGGACCAAAGAGGGGGACCUUCGGGCCUCUUGCCAUCAGAUGUGCCCAGAUGGGAUUAGCUUGUUGGUGAGGUAACGGCUCACCAAGGCGACGAUCCCUAGCUGGUCUGAGAGGAUGACCAGCCACACUGGAACUGAGACACGGUCCAGACUCCUACGGGAGGCAGCAGUGGGGAAUAUUGCACAAUGGGCGCAAGCCUGAUGCAGCCAUGCCGCGUGUAUGAAGAAGGCCUUCGGGUUGUAAAGUACUUUCAGCGGGGAGGAAGGUGUUGUGGUUAAUAACCACAGC
rnacentral:rRNA from 1 species